rnacentral:lncRNA from 1 species
GAAGGAGGAAAGGGAGGAGGAGUUGGAGAAAGAGGAGGAGAAGAAAAAGAAUCAAGAUGAGGAGGAGGAAGAAGAGAAGAAAAGAGAGAAGAGAAGAAAGAGUGGGAAUAAUGAAGAAGGGGAGGUGGAAAGAGGGAGAACAAAUGGGGAGGAUGAAAAAAAGAAUAUGGGAUGGUGAGGGAACAGGAGAGAGAAAGGACUCUGGGAGGGAAGAAAAGGGAAGAAAAUCAAGGAGAGGAUGGGAAGGAUUCUAGGAGGAGUGGAAAGGGGAGGGAAGAAGAGAGCAGGGGGAGGAGCCUGACUAAAAGGGCCAACUCUCUUGGCUAUCUGGUCCAGUCUCCUUGUUUCUCUAUAAAAACCCUGGGACAGAAACACAACUGCAUGACAGACCUUGGCUCAUUUUUGACCUGACACGUGGCCAAGCAGACAGACAGAAAGGCAGCUGGAUAGCAGAGGAUGAGCUUGUUCCUAAAGCUGCUGGUCCUCACAGUGGCCCAGUCAGUGGUACGACAAAAAGGAAAUGAAGGACUCUUUGGAGAGGCAACCAGGGGCCCUUCUUCAGAUGACUGGUGCUAUGAUUCCCAAAAAAGCAUAAUUAAAUGUUUAGGUGAGUUGGGGACUACCAAAUCCAUCCUCCCCUUCACAAUUCAAGCAGCUCAUCCACCCUUCAAUAAUCCAGCAUGGCUAGCCAGGCUCAGAACUGGGCAAGGUAUUUCACACCUGUCUACCUCUAUUUCCUCAUGUGUAAAAUGAGAAUGAUAAACUUAGUAUCUAAUAUUCUAAAUAUCAAAGAGAUAAUAAUUCUGAAGCACUUUGCAAAUCUUCAAGUAUUAUAUAAGGGCUAGCUACCCUAUUUUGGAGGGCACUUUCUGAAUCUUUAGAUGAAGGAUCUCCUUUGUACAUCAUCUCUAACCAGUGUUUAAUUCCUGGCUCAUUUCCCCCAUUCCUCUGACCAUGCUCUUGGUUCUAUUCCUCCUAUAACCACUCCUGGG